GCCUUCUUAGCUAAGUGGUAUAGCGACAGCCUCGUAAGCUGUAGGUCGCGUGUUCGAUCCUCGCAGAAGGCA